rnacentral:tRNA from 1 species
ACUUGAGUAUCUUAAUUUUAAAGUAUAAUAUUGAAGAUAUUAUUAUGGGUUUAUUAACCCCUCAGGUG